CAUUUUUUUCUUCAGUGGUGGGGCAGAGGAAGGGGCCUACUGGGGCAAAUGCCUCACCAGUCCAUGGUAUUAAAAAUGCCUUGCGGCCGCUCAUGGGGUAUAUAUUACAUGCACCCUGCAUGCACAUCACAUGCACAUAACAUUGCCACUUAAUUAACAAGCACACUUACAGUAACAUUUGAAUAAUCAUUUGUGAAUACAGCCUUCCAUACUUUAAUACUUCUAUCAUCAGAAACAGAACAAAGUAGCUGUCUUUCUUGGUUAUAUCUUACUGAAAAUAUCACACCAUCAUGUCCAGUAAGCCGCAUUCUAACGGGAACCUUGUCGUCGCUAGCCUGCUUAUCUGUAACUUUCCAGAGUAAAACUUCGUUAAAAACAGUUCCACAAGCCAACCACAUGUGGUCUAAUGUUCGUCCAAUGAACCUCGCACAAUAU